UUGGAGGGCAAGUCUGGUGCCAGCAGCCGCGGUAAUUCCAGCUCCAAUAGCGUAUAUUAAAGUUGUUGCAGUUAAAAAGCUCGUAGUUGAAUUUCGGGGUCAGUAGGCUGGUCGUGCCACGGGUAUGUACUGGUCUUACUGAUUCCUCCUUCCUGAUGAACCGUAAUGCCAUUAAUUUGGUGUUGCGGGGAAUCUGGACUGUUACUUUGAAAAAAUUAGAGUGUUUAAAGCAGGCUAACGCUUGAAUACAUUAGCAUGGAAUAAUGAAAUAGGACGAUCGAUCCUAUUUUGUUGGUUUCUAGGAUUGACGUAAUGAUUAAUAGGGAUAGUUGGGGGCAUUAGUAUUCAAUUGUCAGAGGUGAAAUUCUUGGAUUUAUUGAAGACUAACUACUGCGAAAGCAUUUGCCAAGGAUGUUCUCAUUAAUCAAGAACGAAAGUUAGGGGAUCGAAGACGAUCAGAUACCGUCGUAGUCUUAACCAUAAACUAUGCCGACUAGGGAUCGGAUGAUGUUAAUUUUUUAAUGGCUCAUUCGGCGCCUUACGGGAAA
rnacentral:rRNA from 1 species